CCCUUGUAUUUAACCGAUUACCGAUUGCGCGCUCUCCACCGUGUAUAUGCGGUGGAAUUUGCCCCGGUUCACUUGCACCUGGUGCGUGCAAUAAUGUCUCGAACUGGGGACGCUUGCGAGAAAUGCCCCAGAGAAGAAGGCGCUAUUUCGGUCUGCCUUCACGAGAUCGCCAUACUUUUAGUGACACGACACGCGAGUGAUAUGAUCACGCGCAGUCAUCGUUGGAUGAGGGCGAUGGGCCUAUUCCGUCGUAGGUGUUGCGGUCAAUUUUUCUUUACCGUAUAUC
rnacentral:lncRNA from 1 species